UACGGAGGGAGCUAGCGUUGUUCGGAAUUACUGGGCGUAAAGCGCACGUAGGCGGCUUUGUACGUUAGAGGUGAAAGCCCGGGGCUCAACCCCGGAAUUGCCUUUAAGACUGCAUCGCUUGAAUCCGGGAGAGGUGAGUGGAAUUCCGAGUGUAGAGGUGAAAUUCGUAGAUAUUCGGAAGAACACCAGUGGCGAAGGCGGCUCACUGGACCGGUAUUGACGCUGAGGUGCGAAAGCGUGGGGAGCAAACAGG
rnacentral:rRNA from 1 species